UAAGGAAUCUUCCACAAUGGGCGAAAGCCUGAUGGAGCAACACCGCGUGAAGGAUGAAGGCCCUCGGGUCGUAAACUUCUUUUAUAAGUGAAGAAUAUGACGGUAACUUAUGAAUAAGGGUCGGCUAACUACGUGCCAGCAGCCGCGGUCAUACGUAGGACCCAAGCGUUAUCCGGAGUGACUGGGCGUAAAGAGUUGCGUAGGCGGUUAUUUAAGUGAGUAGUGAAAUCUGGUGGCUCAACCAUCAACA
rnacentral:rRNA from 1 species